rnacentral:tRNA from 2 species
GCGCUUUUGAGUACCUGGCUUCGAACCAGGUGGUCGGGGGUUCGAGUCCCUCCGGGCGCGCCA